UACUACAGUAGCAGUAAAAUCGUGAAAGCAUAAUCUUGUCUAGCAAAAGCUUCCUUUUUCUUCUGGUGGCCGUCAUUGCUUCCUCAGGGAUUUUUGAAGGCAGUUCCAAUGGACUAAUAGCUUAUGCUUGCCCGUCGUCAUCCAAAGAAACUCAAACGAAAGUACCAUCAAAAAUUCAAUGCCCGGAGAUUAUAAUUCUGAUGAUUGAUGACAUCUCCAGAAAUUGGAAAUAACUCGGUCACUGUUGGCAUCUGGAUCGGAGCCACAUAUCAUCGGUUACCUAACGCACCUUUUUACAGAGUAGAAAUGAGAGAGGGUACAUCUAGUUCAAGUAUACCCGUCAACAAUACAUACUACGAAGAGGAUAAGUUAAUUAAUAAAUCGUUAACCAAUCAUUAAUAAAGACAAGUGUGUAAGCACAAAUAAAAAUAUUCUGUCUAAAAAUUA